rnacentral:rRNA from 1 species
UACGUAGGGUCCGAGCGUUGUCCGGAAUUACUGGGCGUAAAGCGCGCGCAGGCGGCCCGCGAGGUGUCACGUGAAAGCCCCGGGCUCAACCCGGGAGGGUCGUGGCAAACCGGCGGGCUUGAGUCCGGUAGAGGUGGGUGGAACUCCUGGUGGAGUGGUGAAAUGCGUAGAGAUCAGGAAGAACACCCGUGGCGAAGGCGGCCCACUGGGCCGGUACUGACGUUGAGGCGCGAAGGCGUGGGGAGCGAACGGG